CUAACACAUGCAAGUCGAACGAACCCUUCGGGGUUAGUGGCGCACGGGUGCGUAACGCGUGGGAAUCUGCCCUUUGCUUCGGAAUAACAGUUAGAAAUGACUGCUAAUACCGGAUGAUGUCUUCGGACCAAAGAUUUAUCGGCAAAGGAUGAGCCCGCGUAGGAUUAGGUAGUUGGUGGGGUAAAGGCCUACCAAGCCGACGAUCCUUAGCUGGUCUGAGAGGAUGAUCAGCCACACUGGGACUGAGACACGGCCCAGACUCCUACGGGAGGCAGCAGUGGGGAAUAUUGGACAAUGGGCGAAAGCCUGAUCCAGCAAUGCCGCGUGAGUGAUGAAGGCCUUAGGGUCGUAAAGCUCUUUUACCCGGGAUGAUAAUGACAGUACCGGGAGAAUAAGCCCCGGCUAACUCCGUGCCAGCAGCCGCGGUAAUACGGAGGGGGCUAGCGUUGUUCGGAAUUACUGGGCGUAAAGCGUACGUAGGCGGUUAUUCAAGUCAGAGGUGAAAGCCCGGGGCUCAACCCCGGAACGGCCUUUGAAACUAGGUAGCUAGAGUCUUGGAGAGGUCAGUGGAAUUCCGAGUGUAGAGGUGAAAUUCGUAGAUAUUCGGAAGAACACCAGUGGCGAAGGCGACUGACUGGACAAGUACUGACGCUGAGGUACGAAAGCGUGGGGAGCAAACAG
rnacentral:rRNA from 1 species